rnacentral:misc_RNA from 1 species
GAUAACCAGAAAAAUUGAAGUAGUAUGAUGAUAUAUCAUGAACAAUGGAAACAAGUAAAAGUUAAGGCCAUGUUCAGUUAUAAAAAACAAGCUACAUUUUCCAAAAGAUUCAUCUUAAAAACUACAAAAUGGAGUUUGAUGUUUAGUUUUAAAAUUUUCCCAAAUGGAGAAAUGAAAAUGAAAAUUUUAAAUUUUCCAAAUUUAUUCAACAAAAGGACAUCUUUUCUAAUUUUUCAAUUUUCUAUUUAGAAAAUGAAAUUUUGGAAAAUUAGAAAAUGGAGAAGCAAAGUAGAAAAUGGAAAUAGGAAAUGUUUUCCACAACUAAACAAGGUCAAAAUGUCUUCAAGAGAUAAUAAGCUACAGGCUGUAAUCAAAUCUCACAACUAAAAAUAGACUUAUCAUCAGUCACUUGCAACUACACAAAAAGGCUUGGUGCACUCAC